AUGAACGCUGGCGGCGUGCCUAAUACCUGCAAGUCGAGCGAACGGACGAGAAGCUUGCUUUUCUGAUGUUAGCGGCGGACGGGUGAGUAACACGUGGAUAACCUACCUAUAAGACUGGGAUAACUUCGGGAAACCGGAGCUAAUACCGGAUAAUAUUUUGAACCGCAUGGUUCAAAAGUGAAAGACGGUCUUGCUGUCACUUAUAGAUGGAUCCGCGCUGCAUUAGCUAGUUGGUAAGGUAACGGCUUACCAAGGCAACGAUGCAUGGCCGACCUGAGAGGGUGAUCGGCCACACUGGAACUGAGACACGGUCCAGACUCCUACGGGAGGCAGCAGUAGGGAAUCUUCCGCAAUGGGCGAAAGCCUGACGGAGCAACGCCGCGUGAGUGAUGAAGGUCUUCGGAUCGUAAAACUCUGUUAUUAGGGAAGAACAUAUGUGUAAGUAACUGUGCACAUCUUGACGGUACCUAAUCAGAAAGCCACGGCUAACUACGUG
rnacentral:rRNA from 1 species